CAGAGUAACCAGCUGAGCAGCACAGGACCACACACAGUCUCACUAAGGUGGUUGGCUGGAGGCUAACAGAGGAGACUGGGAGGCCAUCUUGGAUUCCCAGACCGGUGAAGCCAAGGGCCUGGGGGACGGCAUCACUGAGCAGGCCAGGACCAGAGCACCACCUGAAGGGGCACCACAGUGUCCACUCAGGGGGAAAACCAUACAGCUGCCAACAGUGGGGAAGAGGAUCUCUCGCCAAGACCAGCUGAAGAUGCACCUGAAGGUCCACAUGGGAGAGGGGAGCUACCUCAGGAUACACCAGCAGAAAAUGCACAAGACCCAUGUAUAGAGUAUUUGACAUGUAAUGUAGUACUAGUUAGUUUGUAGUUAAUUCUUUUAGUUUUGGAUGUAUAGGGAACUGGAUGAGGUGAACUGAGGAAAGAAUGAGUAUGAUGAUACAGAGUCGAUAUGGUUGGUGUGAUGGUGUCUGUAAAAAGUGCUUCACUGAUGAAGAGUUGACAACCUGUCAUGUUUGAUGCUGAUGUUUUAUAAUGAGGAAAUGAUUGUGCCUUAUUUCAUGUUUACAUGACAGGAAGUUAAGAAUAAGAAAUAUUGAGAUAAGAACAUAAAGAUGAGUGUAAUGUAGAACCUUUUCCAAAGUAUUCUAAAUUGUAUUUUAUCAAAGCAAGGGUAUUUUUUAUAAUAAACUCCAAUGGCUCCA